rnacentral:lncRNA from 1 species
UGAGCUCUGGAUAAGAAUGCAGCAGACUGACACCCUGAUUUUGGCUUUGUGAGGCCCUGAGCAGAGAGUCAAGAUAGGCCAUGUCCGGGCUUCUGAACUACAGAAUUGUGAGCUAACAAAGGGGUGUUGUUUUAAGCCACUAAGUCUGCAGUAGCCUAUUACACAACAAUAAUAACUGAUACAGAUAUCUACAUAGGUUUUGGCCUGAGCAAAUGGAUAGAUGGAGCAAUGAUUAGCCAAGAUGGGGAAGAGUGCAGGAGAUGGCCUGGUGCACAUUUUCUCAUCUAAUGGGGGAGAUAAAAGGGAACUUAGGAGAGAUGACAUAGAAUCCUCAUGGAACUGGAGGAAACAAUGAGGAACAAUCAAGUCUCUAUUGUAGAAUUCUACCCAUAAAAGCUUUCAGAAAGACUCUCGUCUAAGUCUUUCUUCACUGCUCACUCAAAAAUUGAUUCGCAACUAAAUAAUGGAUGUGUUUUCUCAAGCAAAUGGAAAUGUACUUAAAUGGAAUGUAGAAUUGAUGCUGCUUUUUUCUUAAUCCUGAAGCAAAUAUACUUCUCCUUCCACAGAAUUAGUUUCCUCUAAUAUGCUCUCAGUGCAGUUAACACUGGGAGAGGACGACUAGAUGCUCAACGUUUUGAAUUCUCCUAUUCUCUGCCCCAUGCAUCUCUUCCUUUGGCUGAUUUUGGUAUAUAUUCUUUUGCUGCAAUAAACUGUAACCAUGAGGAC